GGAUUACAGGCCAACUGGUGUAGGCAUGCAGCUGUUAACUGCAGAUUGUUGAGUUCGAUUCUCAAGUAGUCCU
rnacentral:tRNA from 1 species